GCAGGGAUAGCCAAGCCCGGAUACGGCGCUGGCCUUGAGAGCCAGUGUCCCGUAAGGGACGCGGGGGUUCGAAUCCCUCUCCCUGCGCCA
rnacentral:tRNA from 1 species